GAAGUAAUGCUUCACUUAUUCUAGUUGUUUUCGUUAUUUUAUAUAUGACACUACAUUGUAAAACAACUCUUAAGAGAAUAAAUUAUAAUCAAAAUCAACUAUCUACAGUAAUCAUAAAACAAAAGAAGAGAGAUGUGCUUAAAAAGUCACUUCCAACCAACAUGACCAUGUCUUGUUAAACUCAUGCAUAGGGGAAAAAUAUUCUGAGAUGGAGAAUUGAUUUGUUAGCAAAACUUCCUUUGAGAUAUAUCUGUACUCAGUAGGGACAAUCUGCAAUACAAUAAAAAGAACACUUGGAUGAGAGAUUUCAAGAUUAAAACAACUACUUUUUAAAGGAAUAAAAGAAAAGAAAGAUAAAGGGGCAAACUAAUGUUCCAUCUUUACCAUAGAAGUAGUAUAAGUGAAUGUGUUAAAAUGCAACAUGAAAUAACCUGUUACUAUUUAACGAAACUCCAAUAAAAGUUUCCACUUGUGUUGGAAACUCUCAGAUUCAAACAAAUUUCUAAUUUACACAUUUUUCCAAUACCCAAACGUUCCAUGCAUCAAAACCCAUAAUCAAAUCUACUAAAUAUAGUUAAAAUACCCAAAAAAAUAAAAACUUCAAAAAAAAGUUCAGGUUUUGAUUUGCAUAAUCAAAUCUAUUAUAUAUAGAUAAAAUAUCCAUUAAACAAAAACUUUAAAGAAAAGUUUAGGUUUUGAUUUUCAUAAUCACAUCUACUAAAGAUAGCUAAAAUGCUUAAAAAAAUAAAAACUUCAAAGAAAGUUUGGCUUUUCAUCUAUUUUGUAAAUUUCUAACAGGAUUCUUCACCGACUGUCUCCUGAACUAUUCUUCAUCUCUUUUUGAAUCCAUUACAACUUUCAAAAAGUAGACUUUCAUCUCUUUUUUUUCUUUUCCGUUUUUUUCCCUUCUCUAAACAAAACAAGCUCACAAAAAAAAGGUUAAUUAACAGUUAUAGUAUAUGCAUGCAAAUAGAGCGACCAGAAGACAUGGAAGAGUAGACGACUUGUUGAGAAGGCUGGACGAUUUGAUUAAGAAAGAAAUUUUUGAAUGUCCCAUACAGGGAAAAAGAUAAGAAAAAAAGAACCUAUACAAGAAGAAAAAGAAAUGAGUCUGAGCAUAAGAAAGAAAAACACAACACCUAAAGCAAAGAAAAUUACAGUGUUAAAGACUUGAGCAUGCUGUCUCAUAAAGGAAAAAAGAUAAAAAGAAAAGACUUUAUACAAG
rnacentral:lncRNA from 1 species